rnacentral:rRNA from 1 species
UACGUAGGGUGCGAGCGUUGUCCGGAAUUAUUGGGCGUAAAGAGCUCGUAGGCGGCUUGUCGCGUCGGAUGUGAAAGCCUGGGGCUUAACUCCGGGUCUGCAUUCGAUACGGGCAGGCUAGAGUUCGGUAGGGGAGAUCGGAAUUCCUGGUGUAGCGGUGAAAUGCGCAGAUAUCAGGAGGAACACCGGUGGCGAAGGCAGUGUCCUGGCGCGUAUCUGACGCUGAGGUGCGAAAGCCAGGGGAGCGAACGGG